AAGACCUCGCGCUAUUGGAGCGGCCGAUGUCCGAUUAGCUAGUUGGUGAGGUAAUGGCCCACCAAGGCAACGAUCGGUAGCUGGUCUGAGAGGAUAAUCAGCCACACUGGGGCUGAGACACGGCCCAGACUCCUACGGGAGGCAGCAGUGGGGAAUUUUGGACAAUGGGCGCAAGCCUGAUCCAGCCAUGCCGCGUGAGUGAAGAAGGCCUUCGGGUUGUAAAGCUCUUUCGGCCGGAACGAAAUCGUCCGGGCUAAUACCCCGGAUGGAUGACGGUACCGGAAGAAGAAGCACCGGCUAACUACGUGCCAGCAGCCGCGGUAAUACGUAGGGUGCAGGCGUUAAUCGGAAUUACUGGGCGUAAAGCGUGCGCAGGCGGCUUCCUAAGUCAGAUGUGAAAUCCCCGGGCUUAACCUGGGAACU
rnacentral:rRNA from 1 species